GUUCUCCAAGUCCCCACUAGACUUAGGAGCCCAGCUGGCUUCACUUAGUGGAUCCUGCACAAGGGCCCCAGGUGGAGCUGCCUGCUAGUCCCUCCCAGUGCGCACGCACUCCUCAGCCCUUGGGCCGUCAAUGGGACCGGGCGCCAGGGAGCAGGGGGCGGCGCUCAUUGGGGAGGCUCAGACAGCCCAGGAGCCCACAGGGGUGGGGAGGCUCAGGCAUGGCUGGCUGCAGGUCCUGAGCCCCACCCCGCGGGGGUGCAGCUGAGGCCCGGCGAGAAUUCCAGCGCAGCGCAGCGCUGGCGGGCCGGCACUGCUGGGGGACCCGGCUCACCCUCCGCAGCUGCUGGCCCAGGUGCUAAGCCCUUCACUGCCUGGGGCUGGCGGCGCCGGCCGCUCAGAGUGUGGGCCGCGGAGCCCACGCCUACCCGGAACUCACGCUCGCCCUGGAGAGCGGGUGUGCAGCCCCAGUUCCCGCCCGCGCCUCUCCCUCCACACCUCUCUGCAAGCAGAGGGAGACGGCUCCAGCCUCAGCCAGCCCAGAGACGGGGUCCCACAGUGCAGCGGCAGGCUGAAGGGCUCCUCAAGCGUGGCCCGAGGAGACGCCAAGGCCCAGGAAGCGCUGAGAGCGAGAGACGGCCGCCAGCACGUUGUCACCUCUCACAGUGACCUUGGCAGAUGCGUGGAUGCUGACGAAAAUUGUACAAGAGAAUUUAUGAACAAAAACAAAAGAGACAAAUGGCGAAAAAUAUUUGAAGUACUUUUUCUUGGGCUGGCUCUUCUCCAAAUGACAACUGAUAAUUAGGCUCGCAGGCAGAAGGGAAUUACCUUGUCUUAGGGGUUCUUCCCCCUUCACUCUCUGCUCACUCCAUCCUGCCACCCUGUGAAGAAGGUGCCUGCUUCUCCUUGUCUUCUGCCAGGACUGUAAGUUUCCUGAGGCCUUCUCCAGUCAUGCAGAACUAGCACUGAAAUGAAGAUUACCAAAAACUUUGCCUCAUUCCAAGCUGCACUAAAGGUUGAGAGGGUGUUUCUCCAGAGAAUGGUGACUCGAUGUACUAAAAUUGAAUCUGACCUUGGAGAUUUCUUUGAUUUGUAAGAACAUUUAUCUUUUACCUAUUAAUUUUGCAAGUUUAAAUGGUAAUAACUGUAAAGUGUGGUAAAAUUUCUCUUUUUAAAAAAGAUAUAUUUCACAGUAAAAUUUGUCUAUCAUCUUGCUUCACCCUUUUUCCAAAUUUCUAUACCAAAAAACAUUCUAAUUUUUGUUUUGUUUUCUUUGGGUUAAUAUAAAUGGCGACAAUCUCUAACUCAUUGUUUAGGAAAAGGAGGACGCUGUCAUAAGGAAGAUGCUUUUAAUAAGUAACUCCCUUAUUCCAAAAAAUGAUGUUCCAAAGAAAUAAAGUGAGGAAGAGGAAACCAGAUAGUAUGGAAAAUCCUUCUUUAAUGUGGACAAAUAAAGCAGCCAGACAGAAACAGGAAAGCAAAACAUAAUUAAGGUGGUCCACAAAUUAUGUUUCUGUUGACAUAAACAACUUGAGGUCAAGACUCAAAUUUACUGAUUGUUUUCUAUAAAUAAUUUUCCUUAUGUUUCUUCCUCCUUUUUCAUCCUGUGACCACACAAAUCUCACCCUAAACACAUUCUCCUAUAAAAUUCUGCCCCCUCCAAUGAAAAACAAAUCUAUUUAUGUAACGAAUCCUGUAAUUCAAUUUGCUGUCCUUAAAGAUUCUUUGAAGAAAGGAAAAGUUUGCUUUACAUUCCCACUUGCUCUCUGAGAAAAACAGAAGUGUCUUAAAUAAAUUAAUUCACUUUCACCAUAUAUGUUCAGGGCUUUGUGUUCAUGUGCAAAGCUAACCUCCACAAUAACACUUAUUUUGCAGUAAUAGAAGGACAACAUGGAAUAUGAAGUUUUUUCAGUGACAUCUUUUAGGGAAAGUGUAGUAGUACUGAAUUUGGUAAAAAACUUCCUCCAAAUAUUCUUGGGCACUCCCAUCAUUAAACUUUUUUUUGUUUAUUAAUUAAUUAAGCAAUAGUCUUAAUUGUUAAUUAAGCAAUAGUCAACUGCUAGAUAGAAAAUUUCUCAUGUGCAAAAAUAACCACCUAGACAAUUUUCUGAUAAAUAGUCAAAAUGCCCUUUGAGAUGCCUUGUUGAUCCUACUAUUUUCAUUUAAAGAUAGAGGGGUAAUGAGCCUGACUAAAAAACACUCAGAAUCUUCAAUCCCCAAUUUCUUAAAGAAGUAAUUCUCUCAGCAGCCUCUGAAAAAUAAACUAAAUAGAACUGACACAAUCAAGAAAGAAGAGGACAUAUAUUUCAACACGUAAUGUCAGGUAUUUGAGGUCCAGAAGAUGAUGGGCAAGAUGAAAAACCUGAUCACUGCAGAAAAAAAGAAUCAGAAGUACAGCCAGGACCAGAUGCUGAAGAAGAUCAAUUUGAUGUGGAUUCAUAGACUCUAUGGGAUAAAUCAGGCAACAAAGCCAGUGGGAAUUAAGAAGCAGGCAGAAGCAGAGCCAGGAGGUACACAGCUGAUUUAGCAUCUUUAUAGCUAUGAGUUUUCUUUUAAGCUCAUUCCCCUCUAAGAUACAUCUAUUGGUUUUGAAGUUACUGCUCCCUGAGACCAAUCUCAAUGGCGUUCUUGAACUUGAAAUCAAAAAGAUCUGCAUCCUCCUUCCAGCUCUGACAAGUAUUAGCUGCAUAAACCUAGACAAAAUAUUUAUAUUAUUUGAAUUAUAAUGGGCAACAUAAUAUCUCACUCAGAAAUAUUAUGAAGAUUAAAUAAAAUAUUGAGUGUCAGCUACACAGCACACUGUAGGCUCUUCAUGAUGUUAUCCCCUCCCUGUGCAUUCAUGCUUACAACACCCUUGAAGCCCUCUGGAAUAGAAAGUAUCCAGGUUUCAUGUUGUGGUGAUAGGGGAAAAUGGUCAUAUGAUAGAGGUGUUAUUACACCGGUGGAAAGUGUGAUGCCAGAUAAGCCACUUAAAGAUGCAACCCGUUCCUAACUUAGCAAGUACUGAGACCAGCUUCAGUGCCAGCAAAGUUUAAUACCCAUUCCCAUGAGCAUGGGACCCAGCAGGGUCAAAUGUAAGAUGAGUUCCUCUAAGUCGGGGUGAAGGAGAACUCAUGCUAUACAAAGCUUUCAUGGAGAAGACUAGGAGCAGGAGAUACAAAGUGUGCAAGUCAAUCAUGACUGUUAAUAAUAAGCAUAUAUAUAUACAUGCACACACACAUAUAGAUAUGAAACUAAGCACCUGCCAUGUGCCAGAGUCUGUGCUGGGAGUUUUACGUCUCAUUCAUUCUCAUAAUUCCUGCACGGUAAGUAUUAAUAUUGCCAUUUUAUAGAUGGGGACAUUGAUCUUCAAAGAGGUAAAAUAACUUGUCCAAAUUACACAGCCAGCAAGUAAUAGUAACGAAUCUGUUCAACUCUGUAUGCUUGGAUCUUAUUUUUGAUUCAUUGAUUUAUUUCGGAGGCUGAAAUAAUGUGGGGAUUUUGAUAUGGUUCUUCCGCUACAGGGACCUGCUACCAGUUAACCAGAGAUUUAACCUGAAAUUUUGAUUGCUGUUGUAUAGGCCCCUCCAA
rnacentral:lncRNA from 1 species